rnacentral:tRNA from 1 species
GCCAGCGUAGCUUAACUUUAAAGCAUAACACUGAAGAUGUUAAGACGGGCCUUAGAAAAGCCCCGCAAGCA